ACUCCUACGGGAGGCAGCAGUAGGGAAUAUUGGUCAAUGGACGGAAGUCUGAACCAGCCAUGCCGCGUGCAGGAAGACGGCCUUCUGGGUUGUAAACUGCUUUUAUCAGGGAAGAAUAAGCUUCUUGCGAGAGGUGAUGCCGGUACCUGAGGAAUAAGCACCGGCUAACUCCGUGCCAGCAGCCGCGGUAAUACGGAGGGUGCAAGCGUUGUCCGGAUUUAUUGGGUUUAAAGGGUGCGUAGGCGGCCUGUUAAGUCAGUGGUGAAAGGUAUCAGCUCAACUGAUGACGUGCCAUUGAAACUGGCGGGCUUGAGUACAGACGAGGUAGGCGGAAUUUAUGGUGUAGCGGUGAAAUGCAUAGAUACCAUAAAGAACACCGAUAGCGAAGGCAGCUUACUAGGCUGAGACUGACGCUGAGGCACGAAAGCGUGGGGAGCGAACAGGAUUAGAUACCCUGGUAGCGAGUAG
rnacentral:rRNA from 1 species